GGUGACCUGCGGAAGGAUCAUUACAGAGUUCCUGCCCUCACGGGUAGAAACCCCACCCUUGUGUAUAUUAUUAUGUUGCUUUGGCAGCCCGUCUUUCUAGGCGGAGGCUCACGCCCCCAGCGGCUGCCAGAGGACCCUAAACUUUGAAAUACAGUGUCGUCUGAGUACUAUUUAAUAGUUAAAACUUUCAACAACGGAUCUCUUGGUUCUGGCAUCGAUGAAGAACGCAGCGAAAUGCGAUAAGUAAUGUGAAUUGCAGAAUUCAGUGAAUCAUCGAAUCUUUGAACGCACAUUGCGCCCCUUGGUAUUCCGAGGGGCAUGCCUGUUCGAGCGUCAUUUUGACCAACUCCUCUUUAUAGAGGGUCUUGGGCUUCGCCUCUGGGCGGGCCUCAAAAUCAGUGGCGGUGCUGUUAGGCUCUACGCGUAGUAAUACUCCUCGCGACAGACCCCUAAUGGUUACUUGCCAGCAACCCCCAACUUCUUAAGGUUGACCUCGGAUCAGGUAGGGAUACCCGCUGAACUUAAGCAUAUCAAUAAGCGGAGGAAAAGAAACCAACAGGGAUUACCUCAGUAACGGCGAGUGAAGCGGUAACAGCUCAAAUUUGAAAUCUGGCUCUUUCAGGGUCCGAGUUGUAAUUUGUAGAAGAUGCUUUGGGUGUGGCUCCGGUCUAAGUUCCUUGGAACAGGACGUCAUAGAGGGUGAGAAUCCCGUAUGUGACUGGUUGCCUUCGCCUAUGUAAAGCUCUUUCGACGAGUCGAGUUGUUUGGGAAUGCAGCUCUAAAUGGGAGGUAUAUUUCUUCUAAAGCU
rnacentral:rRNA from 1 species